GUGGGGAAUAUUGGACAAUGGGGGAAACCCUGAUCCAGCCAUGCCGCGUGUGUGAAGAAGGCCUUCGGGUUGUAAAGCACUUUAAGCAGGGAGGAAAGGGUGUUGGCUAAUAUCCAGCAUCAUUGACGUUACCUGCAGAAUAAGCACCGGCUAACUUCGUGCCAGCAGCCGCGGUAAUACGAAGGGUGCAAGCGUUAAUCGGAAUUACUGGGCGUAAAGCGCGCGUAGGCGGUUUGGUAAGUGUGAUGUGAAAGCCCCGGGCUCAACCUGGGAAUUGCCUCACAUACUGCUAAGCUAGAGUACGGGAGAGGGGGGUAGAAUUCCACGUGUAGCGGUGAAAUGCGUAGAGAUGUGGAGGAAUACCGGUGGCGAAGGCGGCCCCCUGGAUCGAUACUGACGCUGAGGUGCGAAAGCAUGGGGAGCAAACAGGAUUAGAUACCCUAGUAGUCC
rnacentral:rRNA from 1 species